rnacentral:rRNA from 1 species
AACCUCCGCAAUGCGAGCAAUCGCGACGGGGGGACCCGAAGUGCCACUUUAACGGGGUGGCUUUUAUGAAGUACUUCAAGAUAAGAGCUGGCAAGACCGGUGCCAGCCGCCGCGGUAACACCGGCAGCUCAAGUGGUGGCCGUUUUUAUUGGGCCUAAAGCGUUCGUAGCCGGUUUGAUAAGUCUCUGGUGAAAUCCUAUAGCUUAACUGUGGGAAUGCUGGAGAUACUAUCAGGCUUGAGGCCGGGAGAGGCUGGAGGUACUCCCAGGGUAGGGGU